rnacentral:lncRNA from 1 species
AUGAUAUUCAGUUUUCUUUUUGCCCAACCUUGUCAGUCUGGUGCUAAAAAGAAGAGAUUGAACCACAUUUAUGUGUAAACACUGACAGAGGAAAAAAAGGACUAGUUUAUUAUGAAUACACCACAUUGGUUUGUGCAGGUAAACGAUUUGCUGCUUUCUGUUACAUUUGGAAUGCAGUCCAUGUGACUUGUGAAAAUGUUUAAUACCAAAUUUUUCCUUUGAAUCAAAGCUGUUUUAUUUGGUAACACUUCUUGUGAUAGUAAUCCGGCUGGUGCUAGUACUUCAAUUUUGUUCUUACAUGAAAAAAAGAAUUGUGAAUUUUAGCAUUGUAAAUCAUGUUAUAAUGUUUUAUUUAUAAAAAUAGUUUUUAAAUUUACAUGUUUUAUAAGAAAUAUUGUAUUGUAAACUGGCUUAAAAUUCAGAAUUUUAGUUUUAAAUAAUGUAUGUUACAU